ACAGAAUAUUGGGUUACAGUGUAGCAAAAUGGCGACUGUCAUUCAGAAUCCACUCAAAGCGCUCGGAGACCAGUUCUACAAGGAGGCCAUUGAGCACUGUCGCAGCUACAAUGCCCGUCUGUGUGCUGAGCGCAGUGUGCGCCUGCCGUUCCUGGAUUCCCAGACCGGGGUGGCACAGAACAACUGCUACAUCUGGAUGGAACGGCGCCACCGUGGGCCAGGUGUGGCUGCAGGACAGAUGUAUACCUACCCUGCUCGCUGCUGGAGGAAGAAGAGACGGCUGCAUCCCCCCACAGACCCCCAGCUACGCCUUUGCGAGCUCAAACUCGAGGGAGAGCUCCCACAGAAGAGGGACAGCCAGCCCGCAGAGGGGACCACCUUGGAGGCUCUGUUGCGAGGAGAGGGGCUGGAGAAGAAGAGCAACUCCAAGGAGGAUGAGAGCCUGCUGGAGAUCCAGAGAGUUCUGGAAGCUGAAGAAAAUGGAGACGGUUUCCAUGACGAUGAAGAUUUUGAAGUGGACACUCCAAAACGGAAGCACAGGACCAAAGGACGGGGCCGAGGUACAGGAAGGCGGAGGACAGAGGCAGCCAUGACAGAGGAUCAGGAUAAGCCCUAUGUGUGUGACAUUUGUGGGAAGCGGUACAAGAACCGCCCAGGCCUCAGCUACCACUACGCCCACACCCACCUGGCCGAGGAGGAGGGCGAGGAUGAGAGAGAUUCGGAGCCCCCCCGCUCUCCACCCGCUCAGCACGAGGACAACCACAAACCUCAGAAGGGUCCUGAUGGGACCAUCAUUCCCAAUAACUACUGUGAUUUCUGCCUUGGGGACUCUGGCUCCAACAGAAAGACAGGGCAGGCAGAGGAGUUGGUGUCAUGCUCAGACUGCGGCCGUUCUGCUGAACGUGGUCGAGGGAGAGACGAGAGGAAGAUGGCCUGUGGGGCAGAGGAAUUGUUUGGCGCCACGUCAGAAAGCGACACGUCCACAUUUCACGGCUUCGACGAGGACGAGUUCGAUGAGCCUCUGUCGCACGGCGGCGUGGCCUCUCCCAGGUGCAGAUAAAAAUGAACUGAACAAACGAAAAACAAAAACCUCUGAAAAACAAAACUGCUGCUUCUUUAUUAUUUUUUUUUUUUUUUUAGUGGAAAGCACAACUGAUCACUUCUGAAGAGAGAGCAAGUGUUAUUUUUUGUUUAUUUUUAGAGGACGAUUUAUGCUUUUUAAUAAGUUAGGGAUAUUGUUUUUUUGAAAGAAACUUUUAAAGCAAUGAGCAACUGACAACCUCUGCUGAAUGGCUUGUUGUCUGUCUAAUGCAGAAGAACCUUUAUUCUGGAAUUUUCCUUGGAGAGGAGAUAUUUAAAAAAAUCUAACUUUGAAAUAUGGAUUUAAUUGUACAGUGUGGUGUGGUACAGAUUUGCCAGCCUAAUCGGAAUUUAAUAACAAUAAUAGAAGACUGCAUCAGAAAACCCGAUGUGUAAAAAAAAAGAAACUAUCCUUUGGCUUUCUGUCUGUUGCUGGAUAGGAAGGGCAGAAAAAGAUUAAUUGAACCCCUCACUGGCAUUGCACAGCAUCAUUGAAGAAGGGAAUGGGACACUGGAUUAAAACAGUCUGAAAAUGAAGGAAUAGCACAAGACCAACGUCUUUACGCCUGAUGAAGCAGUGGUUUCACAUCACCAUGAAGGGACUCAAAGGCUACACCUGGGCCUGGAAGUAAGAGUAAGGAAGGCACAAGAGUGAACAGACUCACACUGGGGCAUGGAGGACAGAGCUGACAGUAUUUCCAUGGAAUUACUGCAGUUUUCUGCAGUCUCACUUUGCCUUACCACACUGGACAUUGGGAAUGGACCAGAAAUCAUUCAUCCCCAUUCCCUCUCUAGGAACAGAACAGAUCCGGGCUCCAGGCACCUAGCCACCAGACGCAGGGGCAUAGCCAUUCCCCAACACCUUCUCUGUGGACCUGUGGACCAGACCCUCAGGAGCUACCAGACAGACUAUGAACACCCCCCUUUGCCAGACAGACCAGAAGCCCUUUGGAAGGUUCCAAGCAUGUGCAAUACAGUUGUAGAAACCAUCGUGUUUUCAGGAGGAAAAGAAAAUCCCAGUUGAACUGGGACUCAUAAUUUGAAAAUAAUAGUAAUAAUAAAUAAUAAUAAUUUAAAAUUUUAGGCUUUUUAUUUUUAUGAACUGUGCUACAGCCAUAGCACCUGUAGCUUGAUUUUAAGCCUCUGAUUUUGUGUUUGCUAAUUUGGUGGCAUAACUUUUAUUGUAAGUACUUUUCUUAAGUAAAAGAGUAAUAAAAAACUUGGUAAUGAUUUUGAAGGACUGUUAAUCACGAUAGAUGUGUGAAGGAUCAGUGUAUAACUGCACUUCUCUGUUAUUUCAUUGUUACUGUACAUAUCCUGUCACUAACCUCCCAAGAUAAGAUGACAGUCGCUGUUCCAUUACUUGUGUUAUUUAAAGAACCUUACUGUAACAUGACAUUGUGCUUUUAGAAAUCUAAUCAUAAACAGUUUUAUGAUAAGGAAUUGAUUGGGUGCAGAUGCUUUGAAAACAUAAAAUGUGGUAUAAUAUUGUUAGAAAUCAACAUAAUUCCUUGCCCAGACUUAAUUUCCUAAUCAUCUUAUCAACUAAAAAAGAGACUUCUGGACAACUUACCUUGGGAGAGUGAUGUAUAUUCUGAUUGAUAUCCUUGGUCUCCUUGUUGAGCAACUCUUAGGUUAAAAGUCUGAAAAGACUUUUAAAGCCCGACAAAACGUGUAUUAAGAAAGCAAAAUUGCAUGGUCCAAUACAGAAAAUUGUUUAUAAGAACAAGUGAAGUUUGGAAGCAUAUUAAAAAAUACAUAUAUGCGUAGAAGGUCUUGAUUCUCACCAUUUUCAUCACUGUGCGAAUAUUUACUGUAAGUUCUGUGUUUUGAGAAGCUGUUUGUACUGUAGUAACAUAACAAAACAUACAGUAUUACGAACAGAAAUGGCACCAAGGGAUUAUGGAGAACAUGUAUGCAAAGAUACACCACCAGUAACAAGUGGAAAAAAAUGUGUACACACUGUUCUCCAAUAGGUUCCCUAGAGUGACAGAAAAUUAUAUCCCCAAAGAGUUGACACCACCUUUUAUCUUUAGUGUGAUGUGUCACACAGAUACAGAAGAAAGAGAAGACCCCACUGGCAAGGUGAAAGACAAAAUCGACAGGUUGCUGUUAGCUGUAAUUAGUGCUGAUGCUUCAAAAAGAUCCCUGCUCCAAACAUGUACUUUUAUUUAAUCAGAAACCUUUAAACCCUGUGAAGUCCAUGCCUGAAUGUCACUGUCUUACUCUGUCUUACUCUGUAGCUAGAGGUCAAUUCUUAUUGAGUCCUUACCACUAAUCUGACCUAAGCAACAUCAUUAAGGAUCUCUUUCCAGUGUUUGUCUCUAACUUCACAUCAACAGAAAUUUCUAUGGCUUUGCCGGAAACUGCUCUUUCUUCUUUUAGCACACUUGUGAAAAUGCAUAAGCAUUGGACAUUUACACAUGGAAGACAGCCUCUGGGAACCUUCUGGAAAUAUUUAACUUGUUUCCUAAAAGGACUGUAAAUUCAUAGCUCCUAUUUCUGUCUGUUUACAGAACAGAAAAAUAAAAGAGAAUUGCCUAUAUGGAAAAUAAAAAAGCCACGGUGUGAUACUCUGUGAUACGAUUUUGUUCAUUGCAAAGCUUGUAUUGUUCAAAUGUGUCAACUCCCUAUAAAAACAUGGAGAAGAACAGCUUAUCGAAGUUGUCACCAGACUACCUUAUGAUCUUUAAAACAAUUAUAAAUCAAUUAUGUUUUACAAACCUCAAUUAGGUUGUCCCUUUUUUCUCCCAUUGGAAAAAAAUGGAAGUGACGUUCCAGCUGGUAUUGGGCUUUUUUAUUCAGGAGUACUACUGAAAGGCCAAAAUAACUGAUAAAAUGUCUUCCAAUAAAUAAUGGCAUACAGGUUCAAAACACCAUUUUAGUUAAUUGUUUUUUAAAGCUCUCUUAUAAAUGUUUUAAUCAUGGUCUGUAGUGCAAGAGUUCCAACCACUUUCUUUCCAACCACUAGCUUUUUCUAUCAAGAAACACCAACUUGUAUUCUGACCAUGAAUUCUUAUUUGUUCACUUUACAGUUCAGGUGACACAAUGUUGAAAUUUUACAUGGUGCGAGUAGUCAAACACUGAGCCAUUAUUCUACAUUUGUCAAUGUAUAAUGUGUUGCACCUUCACGUAACUUAAAAGGAACUUUAUAGUCUCAGAUCUGUAAAGUCAUAUUCACUUUCAGUGUUGUAAAAUUAAGAAAAAGUCUUCUUAAAUUGCAAUAUCUGAAAUUGUGCACCUACCAUAACUUUGUAUAUAAUUGUUUUGUAUAGUUCAGCUUUCUUUGUUCUCUGCUGUCAUUUGAGCUUUGUUCCAAGUCUUUCACUUCUGUAGGCAAAUCUUCACUCACUUAUAAUUUCCUAAAAAUGUGAAGUUCAAGAACUGUUGAAUUCCCAAAUGCUGGGAAGUGUCAUUUCUUUAUUUACAGCAUAAUUCAUCUCUCAGUUCAGAAUUCGUCACUCUUUUGUUUCAUGAGAAUCACACAGCCCCAGUUAAUUUUGAGCUUGUUCAUAUUGUGGUUGACAUGAGGAAUUAUCGUACUUUGAAUAGGAAAAGAUUUGUUAUUUCAAAUAUUAAAAAAUAUUGUUUUUCAUAUUUUUAGUAUAAUUGUGAGAUUCAUUAUUCGAUUCAUUAUCUAUGAACCUUAUUUGUGUUUUGCUAGAUUUAAGUAAAAAAAAUUCUAUAAAUGGACAUACAUCAUAAUUUAUAUAAAUACCCAAAUAAACCUACCUAACCUAAGUAAAAUCAGUAUUGAUCUUAAGUACUUUUAGGGUUACUUGUCUCAUAGUGUGUGUGUGUGGUUUGACGUUGACUGCUUAGAACAAACUAGAUGUCUGUGCUACAAGCUUGUCAACCGUAGCAUACUAGGAGAUAAUCAAGACUUUUGAUUUUCUGUCUUCCCCAGAAACUCCAUGUUCUCGAUAGUGAGUCGCUUUGUAUACUGUUUUCUUCCUCUAAUGUUUUUUUCUUCUUGAAGAAAUGGAAUUCGGUGUUGGUCCAAUCAAGGGCUUUUAAUCAAAGCUAAUUAAAAUGGUGUGACAGUUCAUUAACCUCUAAAUAGUCAAAUGUCUCCCUUAAAAUACUGUACUACAGAUUUUACCUAGUAAUUGAACAAUAGCUAACAUGCAGAAGUAUAUAUAUGCAUUCCAUUAAGAACAUAUAGAACGUUUAUGGUAUCUGUAGAAAGAUGUAAAAUACUUAUAGAUUGCAUUAAUCCUAAUAAUUCUAUUUUCCAUUACUUGAUUAAAUGAAAUUCCUAAUGGUAACUAAUGGAAGCAGACAAAGACUUUGGACCUGUUGUUCCUUGUGGUCAAAUUCUUCCACCUUAUUUCUAUAUUUUAUUAUAGAGUUGCAACUUGCCCACAGGGAAAAUAGGGACCAUUGAGAAUAACCCUCUAAAAUAGUUAUGACAGAGAAAAGCUAGUGAGCCACAUUUUUCAGGGGUCUUCAAUUUCUUGGGAUUUGACUCACUCAGGUUCUGAUUUUUAAAAGUGGCAUAUUUCAAUCCCAGAGCUGUGCUCAGAGCCUGUGAAACUGUCAAUUUGAUCUGUACACCUCAGUCCCUGAAGGCACAAGUUUAAAGAACUAGGGAUACCAGGGGGCUGUUAAACUGGUUCCUACAUGUUAUGCAUCUGACAGAUUUGGUUUUAAAUCUCUUGAUAGCACUGUACUGGCCUUGUAGAAAUAUUAUUUUUUGUAUUCUAUUACUAUUACAUAUAAAGGUUUAUUAUACUCUAUUUUAAGAGGAGGAGUACUCAUAUAUUUUAAGAUUUGUGUUGAAAUUGACUGAUUUCACAAGAUAUAUAUUGCAUAUACAGUAUGUAACAUACUUACAAGGCCCAUAUUAAGUACAUUAAAUGGUAAAAGACUUUUGCUGUUCUUAAUGUGUUUUCUACAACACCUUUCCUUUACAUACAUUUGAAAGCCACUUGAGCAACAUUGGGAUCUUAUGUAGAUUAUAUUUAAUACUGAUGUCUUUUAGUGUUAAGCUUGUGGGCAGAUCUCUUUGACAGCUGUCACUAAAUCCAUCUUUGCUCUGUAUUAGCCUAUAUUUGUGAUUCCUUUCCAUUUCUAUUUUUUUUUUAGUUCAACUAAUUUGGAAUUCUAUUCUUCUGUAGACAUGUUUAUAUAUUUCUAUACACUGUCUAUAGAUGAAACUCAAAGUAGUCCUAAGAUUUUACAGUUUUGUUAAUUUCCAUCAUAAGAAUCAUGUCUGUUGUCAUGCUGCAGUGAUAUUAUUAGGGGUUGUCAUCAUGGCUUUCUGAAAAUCAGGUCUUGUUUAACAGAUUAUUUUAACUUCUUCAGUGUGCAAGUAAAUGGAUUUUGUAUUUAUGGUAUUGCUUACAUCAGGAUUUUUGUGUUAGAGUUACUCUUAAAUCAAGAGCAGUUAAUGGCACUUCUUGCAGACCUAGGUAAAAUAUUUGAAAAUAAUUUACAGGGAGCUUCAUCGCAUGUCUAAAAAAGGAGAAACAAGCCUAUAAAGUUUCACAGUCUACAAAGUUAUUUCUAAUAUACAGUAUACAGUGAGGCUUUAAAUACACAACAAAUGUCAUUGGUUCUAUUACUCAUUUGUUGUAUUUUUAGUACUUACCAGUGUAUGCAAUUGAAGCAAUUGAUCUGGGUAACAUUUUAUGAAGGAUUUUAAGAAAUAUAAAUGUUGAAUUUGAGUGAAUACUUGUGCUAAUUAAUUAUGCCAGGUCUUUUGUAGUAGAGCAAGAUCAUAAGAGCUAGUGUUAUACUCAUUUAUUAUAGAAGUUAAACAGUGAUGUCUCAAAUAUAACACAUUUAUUUCCCAAUUUCUUCAGAUUUUUCAUAAUCUUGUUGGUUUUUAUUGCUUUUGGGAACAGAUCCCAUAUUUGUGUUCACGUAUCAAAUGUGUGUGCUACUGUGGUAUUUUUAGUUCAAUAAUAUUGACUUAAAAGAAUAAAGUAUAUUAAUUCUUAUUCAUUUUGGAUAAUUACAUUGUUGAUUUUUAAACUGAGGUUUAAAGACUGUAUUAAAGAAGACAACUGAAAGAAAUGUAUAAUGCUUCACCUUAUAUAUAGCUCAGUAUAAAAAUGUCUGAGUAAAAUAUAGAAUGAUAAUAAAUUGUAAAGAUCAGGUAUUCCUGGGUUUUCUGAACUUUCUGAAAACUAGUGACCAGCAAAAUGUGAAUACAUUGUACCAAAUCUUUCCCUGGCUGCCGUGACGCCUCAUAGCCACUGGAAUCUCAUAAUCAAGUCAGGUUUUCUAACUUUGUUCUAAACCAUACAAAACAGAACUUAUUGUAAUUCAGUGUGAAUAUCCUGCAGCACAAGUUUUGCUGUUCUUUACUGUCAGUAACAUUCUUAGAAAAAGUAUCACUGUUUUCCUGUGUGAAACAUUUAUGUGGCUAAAAUGAGAGCACAAAAUAUGUUUAUAGAUAGCUUACAUUUGUCUCUGGCAUCCCCUUUCUUUAAGAGUCAUUCAAUAAAUAUGCUUAUCUUGUAGAGUCUUUGAAAAUAAUUCAUACAUAUUCAAUUCAACAUAUUCAGGUUACUUGCUAUUAAUAAUUUGCUCUAGAAUUAAAAGGGCAUGAUAAGUGUGAGUUCAUUUUAGUAUUUUUAUUUAACAGGUUUCUGUAGUGAAAACUGUUGACAUAAGCAAUGUUUCAGGAAUGCUGUUAACACUACACACAUUUCUGUCAGACCUUUUGUUUUCAGCCUCUUUAACUCUGUGAUGAGUGCUUAUAGAGGGCCAUGGUUUACUUUUGUUCAUUGUACAGUUAUGAGUUAUUUUGAGUGUGUGUGGCCAAACUAGAUUAAAACCAGUCAGAGAAGUUGUCUGUAUUUUUAAAGUGAAAACCCUCUGACAUGGUCACAUGGUUACUAUAAAUAGAGCUGGGUGAAUAAUUUUAAUAUUGGUAAGCUAUAUAAAUACCUAACAGUUAGAAUUGUUGAGUCAUUUAAGUAAAUAAGUGUGCUUUACACUUUAUAAGCACCAGGUCUGGGGUCAGGAUUACCAAAUCUGAAAAUGAAAAUGUUAAGCAGCAAAUAUAUCCCUUUUCAGUGUGUUUGACCGUUUGUUUGAAAUUAACCACAAAUGGGAAAUGUAGAAUGAGAAAGAGUGUACUCAAUAUUUUCUAACAAACCAAAUCUGGGCCAUAAGAUAUGGGAUAAAUAAUCUACAAGAAAACAUACUUUGAAUUAUUUUUUUUAUAAAUGGAAUUAAUCCUUAAUUUCAUUUCAAUUGAUUUUAAAGCCUAGAAAUUACCCUUUGUUUCUACAGUCGCCUGUCUUCACAGGGUAUUGUACAAUACAAUGCUUGGUAUUGUAUUUCUGCCUGUUAUUAAAUUAAAAUUACAAGUCAGAUUUAUUAGUAGUGUAAGAAAAAAAAGAUUUUACACCAAGUAGAGUCAGUGACUGAAACAUUUUGACUUCUGAUUUUUUAUUUAUUUAAAUACUUUGGAAUCUUGCAAUAGUUAAGUAUAGAUUAUGUAACAAGAUUGCUUUGAGUAUACUUCUUAGGGAUCUGUGAUGGCCUGCAUGGCCUGUAUUUGUUGUACAUGAGGUUGAUAUAUUGUUUUUCUCUAGAUACCUCCAUCAGCUCAUAAGCUUUGCAUUAUUUCUGCUACCCUUAGCUGAUUUACACUGCUUGGGGAACUUCGUGGGUCAAAACCAGAUAUAUUCAUCUCUUUCAUCUGAAUUGUUUGUAAGGGUGGACAAGCAAAAUAUGUACAAAACUGAGUAAACCUUUGCUCUGUCAUUUUCAGUUAUAAAUAUGGCAUUGACACACAGCUUAUUUUAGGGGUGGGGCUCCCGUUAAAGAACUUUGAAACUUUAUCCAUAGAAUAAGCACGGUACAGUACCAUAAAGAGUUGUGCAUUUGUUUAUGUACUCCUGAGACCGAUUUUGGAAGUGAGUGGUGGGCUGUCAUAAUUUGUUUGGCUUUCAGUUGGCUAGGCAUUGCAAUGCUAGGAAGUUGAUCAGCAGCCAGGCUUUGAGUUAAUGUAGCUGCUGUUUGCAUCAAGCAAAACAGGAAACAGAAGUAUUUUGCAGGUUACACAUGUGGCUUGUUUUUUAAGGAGGGGUGGUAGUAAUCAGAACAGUGUUAUAGCCAUGUUUCAAUUACAAAUGACAUUUCAGGGUUCCCAGGCCAUGCAGAAGAGAGUGCAUGGACUGAGGGGAGGUGCUCUAUUGUGAUGUAUCCAGAGUUACUAGUCCCCAGUGACAUCAUUGUUUUAAGUUUUCUGUGUAUGUCUAUAUGUGUGUCCAUGUUUUACGUUAAAACCAUAGCAUUGCAUAUUCAUGACAAUUUUAGAUGAGAAGGCUGAUUAAUGUUGGGUGGUGCAUAUUACAUCUCCUAGUUUUUAUAAAAUGAUACCUAUCCUACUGUUUAAUGCAUGUGCUUUUUCCUUGCAUAGCCUUAAAAAUACAGAGAGAGCUAUAUCUCCAGGAGUAACAUUUGGAAAUAAAUAGGUUCCUUGAAAGAAAAUAGUCUUACCAUGAAUUGAAUAGUGUAAAAUCAUGUAUUGACAUUUUAAUAAUUUAAAUAAUGCAGCCUUACCGGUUAAAAUGCAAUGGAAGCAACAUGUUUCAAAAGAAAACUGCACAUUGAUUUAUAAUUAACCAUUAUGUUUCAAUUUGUUCUAGCUUUCUCAAUGCAUGUAAUAAGAAGAUUAGUUGCUUGGCUUUGUUAACAUGUUGAACAAUCUCUCAGAUUGUUAGAAAUAGCAUUUCUGAUAGUAGUGAUAAAUUGGUUGCAAAUUGACUUGACUUGACAGUGUGUGAUUCUAAAGACAGUGGUCCCUGAAGAGUUUUGGGGCACUGAUCGUAUUAACAAAACCUGAUCAAUGAUUUUGGAAAGAGGUGAUUGCUGCUAUAUUGCUCUUCAAGUCUUUUUCAAAUUAAAGCAUGGAAAAGCUAGAUGUUAAAAUGGGCUUGGGACAAUACAGUAGAAACUGGAGUGCAUGUACCAGGUGGAAGGCUCAUGGGAGAAACUGAAAUGGACAUCAUAAUUGAAAAUUUCAUAAUUAAAAAGAAGAAACAGAUGGAGUCAGCCUUUUGAUUGUACAUUAAUGUGUAUUUUAGGUCUGAAUGACGAACACUGGUAUUCAAUUCUGCCCUAACAUGUGAACAACUACUUAUACCAUCUAGCUGCUACAGGUGGCUUUGGAAGGAGACAGCCUUAAGACUAUAAUCCUUACAGAUUGAAGUCAACAUGUCAUCAAAGGCAGUUCAUCCAUAGCUUAUAUUUUCAUUUGCUUUGACCUUCAGUGCUGUACUCACAUAUCCUGUAGCUCUGCGUACCGUUUGUCUCAGUGUUGCAAGAAAAUCAAAAACAUCUUGUUAUGUGGAAUAUUUGUUUGGGUCAUAAGUGAGACCAAACCAUCCUAAAGCAUAUUGGAGAUCUUUCUGGAUGAAUACACUGGUUUGUUGAAAAUAAUUAUAUUUAAAAAUAGAUUUUUGUUUCUGUACAAUCAAAUUGAAAAAGGACAUAGUGGAAUAAAGGAAAUAAUUCUUGGGAAAGCAAUUUCUAUGGGGGCCACUUGGGUGCAGACGUGAAUUCCUAGCGUGUUAGUAUCCCUGCAUCUUUCAAACAUAUUAAAAAUAAAUUGAAGAAAAUAGAACUUAACUACAGACAGUAGAUAAGUUCUAGUCAAAAUAUUUUAGUCUUUUUUUUUGUAGUUCAAACCAAUAUUCUUUUAAGGAUUGGUUAAUAUGGCCUGGUCAACCCUCUGCUGAAGGCCUUGUUCAGUGGAGUGUUAUAGUUACUGACUGAAUGAACUGUGUUUAUGAGACUUUCAGUGGUUAAUGUUAGAAAUGUAUAUUUCUUGUGAGCUUAUGAUGUUUUUGCACCUCACACAUUUUACUUUUCCUGCUGAGAGGCUUUUUUGUGAAACAGAAGGCUUAGAUGAUGUAUAAGCAGACACUUUUUGUCAGUGAAAUCUUUAAUUUAUAAAAAAUAACAGGAGGUCUGUGUAAGGUCCCUGUACAUGUUAAAAUUGCUGAAUUUUGCAGGACCUUCUUGUUAAUUUAAAGCCACAAUUUUAUAUAGCUGAACUGAAAUGAAAGUGACUGUUGUUUCAGACUCUUCAUAUGUUUAUUUCAAAUUGUCAGUUACAAAGGAAAGUCUUUGUUAUUGGAAAUAUUUUUAUUGUAACAAAAGGAAAUAAAGAACGAGUCUCCUA